UAAAGUUAGCUGACACUCUUAGAGGACUAACUUCCAGUUAGUUUUGUUUGUGUCCUGAAGAUUUGAAGAUUUGUACUGCUCAGGAUCACAUCAGCCUCUCUGUAGUGAUUUCCUCAAAUGAUGGGAUUCCUGAUACCCAGUAAAAACUGAGCUCAUUUUCAAUGUGGAUGGAAUAGGAGUCACCUGAACAUUUCCUAACUCAAGAUCAUCAUAGCUCCAG